rnacentral:rRNA from 1 species
AUGCACGCUGGCGGCGUGCCUCAUCCCUGCCAGUCGAGCGCACAGACGAGGAGCUUGCUCCUCUGACGUUAGCGGCGGACGGGUGAGUAACACGUGGAUAACCUACCUAUAAGACUGGGAUAACUUCGGGAAACCGGAGCUAAUACCGGAUAAUAUAUUGAACCGCAUGGUUCAAUAGUGAAAGACGGUUUUGCUGUCACUUAUAGAUGGAUCCGCGCCACAUUAGCUAGUUGGUAAGGUAACGGCUUACCAAGGCGACGAUGCGUAGCCGACCUGAGAGGGUGAUCGGCCACACUGGAACUGAGACACGGUCCAGACUCCUACGGGAGGCAGCAGUAGGGAAUCUUCCGCAAUGGGCGAAAGCCUGACGGAGCAACGCCGCGUGAGUGAUGAAGGUCUUCGGAUCGUAAAACUCUGUUAUUAGGGAAGAACAAAUGUGUAAGUAACUAUGCACGUCUUGACGGUACCUAAUCAGAAAGCCACGGCUAACUACGUG